rnacentral:rRNA from 1 species
ACUCAAAUGAAUUGACGGGGGCCCGCACAAGCGGUGGAUUAUGUGGUUUAAUUCGAAGCAACGCGAAGAACCUUACCUAGGUUUGACAUCCCAAGACAAACGUAGAAAUACGUCUUUCUCGCAAGAGACUUGGAGACAGGUGCUGCAUGGCUGUCGUCAGCUCGUGUUGUGAAAUGUUGGGUUAAGUCCCGCAACGAGCGCAACCCCUGGAAUUAGUUGCCAGCAUUAAGUUGGGCACUCUAAUUUGACUGCCGGCGUUAAGCCGGAGGAAGGUGGGGAUGACGUCAAGUCCUCAUGGCCCUUACACCUAGGGCUACACACGUAAUACAAUGGAUAGGACAAAGGGAUGCGAACCUGCGAGGGGGAGCUAAUCUCAAAAACCUGUCCUCAGUUCGGAUUGGAGGCUGCAAUUCGCCUCCAUGAAGGCGGAAUCGCUAGUAAUCGUGGAUCAGCACGCCACGGUGAAUACGUUCCCGGGCCUUGUACACACCGCCCGU